GGCUUAAAAUUUCGAAUUUAGAUAAAAAAAGACUUAAAUGGAAAGUAAUAUUAACGGGAAGUUUAACCAAAUAUGCACCUAUCCAAGAAGAAAUGUUUAUGCAAGGCGAAUAUAUGUUACAACCUCUCUAAUGACAAAUGAAGAGUGAUUGUGAAAAUAAAAAAGAACAAUUUAAUUUACAAAGGAAAAAUAUAUAACUGAACGACAUUACUGAGGAUAUUUUCUUAAUAAAAUAGAAUACUAGAACAAGGAAAGUCACCAAUGUUGCAAAUUUUAUU